UAAUUGAAGAGUUUGAUCAUGGCUCAGAUUGAACGCUGGCGGCAGGCCUAACACAUGCAAGUCGAGCGGCAGCAC
rnacentral:rRNA from 2 species